GGGGAUUUAGCUCAGUGGUCAGGCAGCUGCUUAGCAUGCACAAGGCCCUGAGUUCAAGUCCAGAAUCUCUC
rnacentral:tRNA from 1 species